GGAUAAACUAUUCAAAAUAGAUGUAAUUAUAUGCUGCAUGGUUGCAAAUUUUCACUGGACACUAACAAAGCUACUUAAAACAGAGGUACGGAGUUUCGGAAAAAAUUAAAGUAUUAAAAUUGCCACAAGCAUUGCAAGAUGACAACAUAUCAUGUGGAGUCUUCUACAUUAAGUUUGCUGAGAACUUUAUAAAUGAGGAAGAUUUGGUGCAGUCUUUUUCACUCGAAGAACUAAACGAAUAUCAAAAAGACGUGGUACAGUUUUUAUUGGAUAAGGGAGGUCAAGAAAAUUGGAAUGAAACAGUGUGUCGAAUUUGUGGCCAAUUCGAAGGACCUAAAAAAAAUCAAAAUCAAAAGAUUGAUAAAUGGAUUAUAUGCGAUAUCUGCAAGCCAGUUAGACGGUUCCACCAAGCAUGUAUUUUGUAUGAGAAAGAAAAAAAUGUGUUUACGUGCACAAAGAUUUUUAUUUUACAGGACAGGAGUUAAAAGAAAGAUGCAAAAAG